GAUUUCUGGGCUCAAGAGUUUGGCCGGCCACGGUUUCGUGUGUUAGUGCUUUGCUCUGUGUCCAUCCUUCCAAUCGCUAUUGGCUAUUCUUCAUUGAUUGGUCAGUAGUAUUGGAUCUUUUACUUUGAAAAAAUUAGAGUGUUUAAAGCAGGCUUACGCUAUGAAUACAUUAGCAUGGAAUAAUAAUAUAGGACUUUGGUUCUAUUUUGUUGGUUUCUAGGACUGAAGUAAUGAUUGAUAGGGAUAGUUGGGGGUGCUAGUAUUCAGUGGCCAGAGGUGAAAUUCUUGGAUUCACUGAAGACUAACUACUGCGAAAGCAUU
rnacentral:rRNA from 1 species